rnacentral:lncRNA from 1 species
AUGUCGGGGUCCACAGAAGCUCGCCGCCUUUUUAUUUUUCCAAAGUACAUCUUGAAAAAUGACAGCCAGUUUUUCCUUUCCUUAGUAUUUUUAUUUUUUUUUUAUUUUUUAAUUUUUUUUAAUUUUUUUUUUUUUUAUGAUAGUCACAGAGAGAGAGAGAGGCAGAGACACAGGCAGAGGGAGAAGCAGGCUCCAUGCACCGGGAGCCCGAUGUGGGAUUCGAUCCCGGGUCUCCAGGAUCGGGCCCUGGGCCAAAGGCAGGCGCCAAACCGCUGCGCCACCCAGGGAUCCCUCCUUAGUAUUUUUAUAAAAGAAGGACCAUUUGUUCGUUUUAAUUAUUUUUUUUUAAUCACGGUGCUGCUGGCAUACGGUACAGUUCCUUCGCUUACAACUUGGGGAAUUUUGCUGACCCUCCAUAGUCGUACACGAAGGUCCAUAAUCGGGCCGGGCGGCUUCCGCAUCCCGGGUUUGCUCCUGCUCCUGGCCGUCAGUCUCCCACUCCUGGCCUGGGCCUCACUCAGCCUUCGAUGCCGCAAGCGGGGUUCAGUGUGGUUCAUCGUGUAGCUAAUUCUCAUUGGUUAUGCUGAGGUGAGGAUUCUUUGGGAUUUUGGAAGAAAAUAUCCUCACAUUUUCCAUUCCUUUCUUCCCAGAGACAGUUUGCUGGCAGAGUAUUGGCCACCUCUCUCGGCAGCCAGAUGAGAAACAGAGCUCGAGGCAGGGCGAGAACAAUGCCUGUGGCCAGCACCGUUCCGUGGUCUUUUUCUCUCUUUCUUUUUUUUUAGGAGUGUAGGAAAAUACAAAACAUAAAAAGGACCUAAAAUCAAGAGGAGUGCAAACUGCCGUUUGGGGAGAGAAGUCUGGCUGAGAGGUCAGAUGCCACGUUCCUCCUUCCUCCCGGGAGGCGGAUGCACUGAAGCCCUGGCCCGCGUGUCUGAUGGUGGAGGCCGCACCUUGUCACCAAGGGCAGACUCACUCGGGCCCUGGCCCUGUGGUGGUGACAGCCCCGUACUCCAGCCUGCGGAGCCCAUACUCCCAGCCGCAGCCCUCAAGUCACCACUGGCUGCUGCUUCCCGCGCAGGUCCACCGUGAUGCCAGAGGGACAGUUGUCACCUCCCAGCCUCCUGAAGGGCGUUUACGGCCCCUGCCUCGCGUGGGAUCUCUUACUUUCCACUGUGCUCGAGGCAUUGCUGUGACUUUUGAAGACAAUGCAAAAGUAAGACAGUACGUGUAGACUUUUCAAAGAAAAAGGCAGAUACAAGCCCCUCUCUGAGGCCACCGUCCCCAAGCCCUGCCUCUGCAGGAAACCACUCUUAAUUGUUGCUUUGUUUCUUCUUUAAAUUUAGCUUUUAUAUUAUUUUAUGUUACCAUAGUUUAACGAGUGAAAUAGUUCUCCAAGGCUUGUUAUUAAAACGGCGGUACAAGGCUCCUUGGGAGACGAUGCACAUGGUCUAAAAUUAGAGUGUGGUGGCGGUUGCACAACCCUGGAAACACCCCGAAACCCACGGACUGUGGGGAGGAUCUCGCCCGCGCGGGAACUGCAUGCAGGUCAGUGAAGCUGUGCAAA